GUGCCAGCAGCCGCGGUAAUACGUAGGGUGCAAGCAUUAUCCGGAGUGACUGGGCGUAAAGAGUUGCGUAGGUGGUUUGUUAAGUGAAUAGUGAAAUCUGGGGGCUCAACCUCACAGACUAUUAUUCAAACUGGCAAACUCGAGAAUGGUAGAGGUAACUGGAAUUUCUAGUGUAGGAGUGAAAUCCGUAGAUAUUAGAAGGAACACCAAUGGCGUAGGCAGGUUACUGGACCAUUUCUGACACUGAGGCACGAAAGCGUGGGGAGCGAACCGGAUUAGAAACCCCCGUAGUCC
rnacentral:rRNA from 1 species